rnacentral:rRNA from 1 species
UGGGGAAUUUUGGACAAUGGACGCAAGUCUGAUCCAGCCAUGCCGCGUGCGGGAAGAAGGCCUUCGGGUUGUAAACCGCUUUUGUCAGGGAAGAAAAGUCUGGAGCUAAUAUCUCCGGACGAUGACGGUACCUGAAGAAUAAGCACCGGCUAACUACGUGCCAGCAGCCGCGGUAAUACGUAGGGUGCAAGCGUUAAUCGGAAUUACUGGGCGUAAAGCGUGCGCAGGCGGUUCUAUAAGACAGAUGUGAAAUCCCCGGGCUCAACCUGGGAACUGCAUUUGUGACUGUAGAGCUGGAGUGCGGCAGAGGGGGAUGGAAUUCCGCGUGUAGCAGUGAAAUGCGUAGAUAUGCGGAGGAACACCGAUGGCGAAGGCAAUCCCCUGGGCCUGCACUGACGCUCAUGCACGAAAGCGUGGGGAGCAAACAGGAUUAGAUACCCUGGUAGUCCGCGCCCUAAACGAUGUCGACUGGUUGUUGGGAAGGUUCCUUCUCAGUAACGUAGCUAACGCGUGAAGUUGACCGCCUGGGGAGUACGGCCGCAAGGUUGA